rnacentral:rRNA from 1 species
AGGAUGUGAUGGGGAAGCCCUUCGGGGCGAAGUAGCUGAUUUCACACUGUCAAGAAAAGCUUCUAUCGAGUUUAAAGGCGCCCGUACCGUAAACCGACACAGGUGGGUGAGGAGAGUAUCCUAAGGCCAGCGAGAGAACUAUUGUUAAGGAACUCGGCAAAAUGACCCCGCAACUUAGGGAGAAGGGGUGCCUGUCUAUGACAGGCCGCAGAGAAUAGGCCCAAGCGACUGUUUACCAAAAACACAGGUUUCUGCUAAGUCGCAAGACGAUGUAUAGGAGCUGACGCCUGCCCGGUGCUGGAAGGUUAAGGGGAUCUGUUAGAGCAAUCGAAGCAGUGAACUUAAGCCCCAGUAAACGGCGGCCGUAACGAUAACGGUCCUAAGGUAGCGAAAUUCCUUGUCGGGUAAGUUCCGACCCGCACGAAAGGCGUAACGAUUUGGGCACUGUCUCAACAAUAGACUCGGUGAAAUUGUAAUCCCGGUGAAGAUGCCGGGUACCUGACAGGACGGAAAGACCCCAUAGAGCUUUACUGUAGCUUGACGUUGGGUCUUGGUACUACAUGUACAGGAUAGGUGGGAGACUAUGAAGCAUGGACGCAAGUCUGUGUGGAGUCAUCCUUGGGAUACCACCCUUGUAGUACUGGGAUCCUAACCAUAGGCCUUGAAUCAGGUCUUGGAACACCGUCAGGUGGGCAGUUUGACUGGGGCGGUCGCCUCCUAAAAAGUAACGGAGGCGCUCAAAGGUUUCCUCAGCACGGUCGGAAAUCGUGCGGAGAGUGUAAAGGCAAAAGGAAGCUUGAUUGCAAGACAUACAGGUCGAGCAAGGACGAAAGUCGGACUUAGUGGUCCGGUGGUACCGCAUGGAAGGACCAUCGCUCAACGGAUAAAAGCUACCCUGGGGAUAACAGGCUUAUCUCCCCCAAGAGUCCACAUCGACGGGGAGGUUUGGCACCUCGAUGUCGGCUCAUCACAUCCUGGGGCUGUAGGUCCCAAGGGUUGGGCUGUUCGCCCAUUAAAGUGGUACGCGAGCUGGGUUCAGAACGUCGUGAGACAGUUCGGUCCCUAUCCGUCGCAGGCGUAGGAAAUUUGAGAAGACCUGUCCUUAGUACGAGAGGACCGGGAUGGACGUACCUCUGGUGUACCAGUUGUUCUGCCAAGGGCAUGGCUGGGUAGCUAUGUACGGAAUGGAUAAGCGCUGAAAGCAUCUAAGCGCGAAGCCAACUUCAAGAUAAGAUUUCCCACCGUAAGGGUAAGACCCCAGGAAGACUACCUGGUUGAUAGGUCGAAGGUGUAAGUGCAGUAAUGUAUUUAGCUUAUCGAUACUAAUAGGUCGAGGACUUGAUC